UUGUACCACAUUGAAAAAACAGUUCUUGUCUGAUCACCGAAGUUAAGCAAUGUCGAGCCUGGUCAGUAUUUGGGAGGGUGACCAUUUGGGAACACCAGGUACUGUAGGCU